UGGGGAAUAUUGGACAAUGGGCGAAAGCCUGAUCCAGCCAUGCCGCGUGAGUGAUGAAGGCCUUAGGGUUGUAAAGCUCUUUUAGCAGGGAAGAUAAUGACGGUACCUGCAGAAAAAGCCCCGGCUAACUUCGUGCCAGCAGCCGCGGUAAUACGAAGGGGGCUAGCGUUGCUCGGAAUUACUGGGCGUAAAGCGCACGUAGGCGGACUCUCAAGUCGGUGGUGAAAUCCUGGAGCUCAACUCCAGAACUGCCUUCGAUACUGGGAGUCUUGAUUUCGGGAGAGGUGAGUGGAACUGCGAGUGUAGAGGUGAAAUUCGUAGAUAUUCGCAAGAACACCAGUGGCGAAGGCGGCUCACUGGCCCGAUACUGACGCUGAGGUGCGAAAGCGUGGGGAGCAAACA
rnacentral:rRNA from 1 species